rnacentral:rRNA from 1 species
GAUGAACGCUAGCUACAGGCUUAACACAUGCAAGUCGAGGGGAAACGACAUCGAAAGCUUGCUUUUGAUGGGCGUCGACCGGCGCACGGGUGAGUAACGCGUAUCCAACCUGCCCACCACUUGGGGAUAACCUUGCGAAAGUAAGACUAAUACCCAAUGAUAUCCCACGAAGACAUCUGAAUGGGAUUAAAGAUUUAUCGGUGAUGGAUGGGGAUGCGUCUGAUUAGCUUGUUGGCGGGGUAACGGCCCACCAAGGCAACGAUCAGUAGGGGUUCUGAGAGGAAGGUCCCCCACAUUGGAACUGAGACACGGUCCAAACUCCUACGGGAGGCAGCAGUGAGGAAUAUUGGUCAAUGGGCGAGAGCCUGAACCAGCCAAGUAGCGUGCAGGAAGACGGCCCUAUGGGUUGUAAACUGCUUUUAUAAGGGAAUAAAGUGGGUCACGUGUGACUUUUUGCAUGUACCUUAUGAAUAAGGACCGGCUAAUUCCG